GAUGAACGCUGGCGGCGUGCCUAAUACAUGCAAGUCGAGCGAAUGGAUUAAGAGCUUGCUCUUAUGAAGUUAGCGGCGGACGGGUGAGUAACACGUGGGUAACCUGCCCAUAAGACUGGGAUAACUCCGGGAAACCGGGGCUAAUACCGGAUAACAUUUUGAACCGCAUGGUUCGAAAUUGAAAGGCGGCUUCGGCUGUCACUUAUGGAUGGACCCGCGUCGCAUUAGCUAGUUGGUGAGGUAACGGCUCACCAAGGCAACGAUGCGUAGCCGACCUGAGGGGGUGGUCGGCCACCCUGGGACUGAGACACGUCCCAGACUCCUACGGGAGGCAGCAGUAGGGAAUCUUCCGCAAUUGACGAAAGUCUUACGGAGCAACGCCGCGUGAGUGAUGAAGGCUUUCGGGUCGUAAAACUCUGUUGUUAGGGAAGAACAAGUGCUAGUUGAAUAAGCUGGCACCUUGACGGUACCUAACCAGAAAGCCACGGCUAACUACGUGCCAGCCGCCGCAGUAA
rnacentral:rRNA from 1 species